AUUGAACGCUGGCGGCAGGCCUAACACAUGCAAGUCGAACGAGUGGCGGACGGGUGAGUAAUGUCUGGGAAACUGACCGAUGGAGGGGGAAAACUACUGGAAACGGUAGCUAAUACCGCAUACAAUCGGAUGUGCACAGAUGGGAUUAGCUUGUUGGUGCGGUAACGGCUCACCUAGGCGACGCGCCCUAGCUGGUCUGAGAGGAUUACCAGACACACUGGAGCUGAGACACGGGCCAGACUCCUACGGGGGGCAGCAUUGGGGAAUAUUGCACAAUGGGCGCAAGCCUGAUGCAGCCAUGCCGCUUGUAUGAAGAAGGCCUUCGGGUUGUAAAGUACUUUCAGCGGGGAGGCGUUACCCGCAGAAGAAGCACCGGCUAACUCCGUGCCAGCAGCCGCGGUAAUAC
rnacentral:rRNA from 1 species